rnacentral:tRNA from 1 species
GUGCUCAUGGUGUAGCGGUUAUUACAUCUGUUUAACACGCAGAAGGUCCCAGGUUCGAGCCCUGGUGAGCACA